rnacentral:sRNA from 1 species
AGAACAGAACAGAAUGUGUAGUCCACCGUGGCAUUAGAAAGCUUCCUAAUAACAGCAGAAACAGGUUCGAAUUCCCGGCGCUCAUUCCUCCUUAAAGGCCUGGCAUGCCUAGGGCGGAGCUGAGGAGCAACUUGACCAAGUCUUAAGGAACUUUCUACCACUGAAGAUAAAAACGGCCACUCGGAGAUCUCUACUAAACAGCACUGACUGAGCACUUCUACUCGACUUUUGUGAAACAUAGGGCCUUGCUAUGCUGUUCAGACUUCUGGGUUUACACAAUCCUUCUGAUUCAGCCUCCUGUAGCUGCCACUCCUGGUUUGACCACCAGGCUCACAGCCAGAGGAAGUUACUGUAUAGAAACACUCACAAAAGGAUAAGUACGCCAAAGUUCCGGCAGCAUUCUUCCAUAAUAAAACAUGAGAGACGUAA